GCCGGUGUAGCUCAGUUGGUAGAGCAGCGCAUUCGUAAUGCGAAGGUCUGGGGUUCGAUUCCCCACUCCGGCACCA
rnacentral:tRNA from 1 species